CCUACGGGAGGCAGCAGCAGGGAAUAUUGCGCAAUGGGCGAAAGCCUGACGCAGCGACAUCGCGUGAAGGAUGAAGAUCCUUGGAUUGUAAACUUCAAU
rnacentral:rRNA from 1 species